rnacentral:rRNA from 1 species
AGAACGAACGCUGGCGGCAUGCCUAACACAUGCAAGUCGAACGAGACCUUCGGGUCUAGUGGCGCACGGGUGCGUAACGCGUGGGAAUCUGCCCUUAGGUACGGAAUAACUCAGGGAAACUUGUGCUAAUACCGUAUGAUGUCGAGAGACCAAAGAUUUAUCGCCUAGGGAUGAGCCCGCGUAGGAUUAGCUAGUUGGUGGGGUAAAGGCCUACCAAGGCUACGAUCCUUAGCUGGUCUGAGAGGAUGAUCAGCCACACUGGGACUGAGACACGGCCCAGACUCCUACGGGAGGCAGCAGUGGGGAAUAUUGGACAAUGGGCGAAAGCCUGAUCCAGCAAUGCCGCGUGAGUGAAGAAGGCCUUCGGGUUGUAAAGCUCUUUUCUUGGGAAGAACAAAUGACGGUACCCAAGGAAUCAGCAUCGGCUAACUCCGUGCCAGCAGCCGC